rnacentral:snoRNA from 1 species
AAGAUCAUACUUUUAGGGAUCAUUUCUAUAGUGUGCAUCUUGAAAACGUCAUCAAAUUAUGACGAAACCUCAACUACGAUGACGAGUUGUAGGGAUUCCUUCUGAGCAUGAAGCUUAGUUCGGGUACCUUCUGGUGCUAUGAACUAUUGAGGAUUGUUCUUUGAUUUCCAUUAGGAGAUCUUAGAGGAAGGUAUCUCCGGCUGAGUAG